CGAAAAGCUCUCACCUAAAACUGUCCGUUUUACAUCCGUAUCCACCUGUGUAGAUCGGUUCUUUACUGAAGGUUCUUAGAAGGAAACUUGGAAGUGGGAGAAUUCGACACCAAAUUUUGGAACUUAAAAAGAAGAUUCUUAAAACUUACAAUCCAGGUUGUUCAGGCUGAGAAGGAAGAGAGGUUGGUCUUGCUGUCUCUGGGUUGCAGAGGCAGAAGAAAAUCUGCAUAUAAAUGAACUCCUGCAGUUCAAACCCUUGCUGUUCAAGGGUGAACUGUAUUACCUGUUAAUUUGUGUCACUAAGGAAGUAUCUUUAGAACCGGGAACUCAACAAUCCCUUUCUCGUAGAAUAAAUAAAUGGCAGUAAGAACUGUAAA
rnacentral:lncRNA from 1 species